UACGGAGGAUCCAAGCGUUAUCCGGAUUUAUUGGGUUUAAAGGGAGCGUAGGCGGCCUAUUAAGUCAGGGGUGAAAGACGGUGGCUCAACCAUCGCAGUGCCUUUGAUACUGGUAGGCUUGAAUGUAGUUGAGGUAGGCGGAAUGUGACAAGUAGCGGUGAAAUGCAUAGAUAUGUCACAGAACGCCGAUUGCGAAGGCAGCUUACUAAGCUAUGAUUGACGCUGAGGCUCGAAAGCGUGGGGAUCAAACAGG
rnacentral:rRNA from 1 species